AUCUCGCAUGCUUGGAGCAGGUUGCAGGGUACCAACUGGAACAGCACUGUCCCAGUGUGAAGACUGACUUCCUGUACUGAAAGUGGGAGACCCACCAGGAGGGCACCGACGUAAUGGCACAACAAUCUCAUCCAUUUCUAAGUCCCACAACAGCAACUGUGUGUCCUGACCAACAGAUCCAAACCGAUACAUUACAGUCUCUCCUGUACCAUCUGAAGUUGGGGAUGACCAAUACGAAUCAAAAGCCACUCCACUCACCCAUGAGUUGUGCCCCUCACCCCACGCGACUACCUUCCGAUCUUCCAUACUCCAAACUUG
rnacentral:misc_RNA from 1 species